rnacentral:rRNA from 1 species
AGCAGCCGCGGUAAUUCCAGCUCCAAUAGCGUAUAUUAAAGUUGUUGCAGUUAAAAAGCUCGCAGUUGAAUUUCGGGAUUGGCGCAUCGGUCGUGCCUCACGGGGUAUGAACUGGUGCAGUCAAUUUCUCACCUUCUGGAGAACCGCGAUGUCCUUAAUUGGAUGCCGCGGGGAACCAGGACCUUUACUUUGAAAAAUUAGAGUGUUUAAAGCAGGCAUUUUUGCUUGAAUACAUUAGCAUGGAAUAAUAAAAUAGGACGGCAUGGUUCUAUUUUGUUGGUUUCUAGGACCACCGUAAUGAUUAAUAGGGAUAGUUAGGGGCAUUAGUAUUCAAUUGUCAGAGGUGAAAUUCUUGGAUUUUAUUGAAGACUAACUACUGCGAAAGCAUUUGCCAAGGAUGUUUUCAUUAAUCAAGAACGAAAGUUAGGGGAUCGAAGACGAUCAGAUACC